UGCCAGCCCGAUCAGGCGUAAAACAGUCGGCUUAACCUGAAAUCAUGCGGUGAUACCGCGUAAAAAAUCGUA
rnacentral:ncRNA from 1 species